rnacentral:rRNA from 1 species
GUGGGGAAUUUUGGACAAUGGGCGCAAGCCUGAUCCAGCAAUGCCGCGUGCAGGAAGAUGGCCUUCGGGUUGUAAACUGCUUUUGUACGGAACGAAACGGUCCUGGCUAAUAUCCGGGGCUAAUGACGGUACCGUAAGAAUAAGCACCGGCUAACUACGUGCCAGCAGCCGCGGUAAUACGUAGGGUGCGAGCGUUAAUCGGAAUUACUGGGCGUAAAGCGUGCGCAGGCGGUGCUGUAAGACAGGCGUGAAAUCCCCGGGCUCAACCUGGGAAUUGCGCUUGUGACUGCAGGGCUGGAGUGCGGCAGAGGGGGAUGGAAUUCCGCGUGUAGCAGUGAAAUGCGUAGAUAUGCGGAGGAACACCGAUGGCGAAGGCAAUCCCCUGGGCCUGCACUGACGCUCAUGAACGAAAGCGUGGGGAGCAAACAGGAUUAGAAACCCGGGUAGUCC